rnacentral:rRNA from 1 species
UGGGGAAUAUUGGACAAUGGGCGAAAGCCUGAUCCAGCCAUGCCGCGUGUGUGAAGAAGGCCUUUUGGUUGUAAAGCACUUUAAGCGAGGAGGAGGCUACUAGUACUAAUACUACUGGAUAGUGGACGUUACUCGCAGAAUAAGCACCGGCUAACUCUGUGCCAGCAGCCGCGGUAAUACAGAGGGUGCGAGCGUUAAUCGGAUUUACUGGGCGUAAAGCGUGCGUAGGCGGCUGAUUAAGUCGGAUGUGAAAUCCCUGAGCUUAACUUAGGAAUUGCAUUCGAUACUGGUCAGCUAGAGUAUGGGAGAGGCUGGUAGAAUUCCAGGUGUAGCGGUGAAAUGCGUAGAGAUCUGGAGGAAUACCGAUGGCGAAGGCAGCCAUCUGGCCUAAUACUGACGCUGAGGUACGAAAGCAUGGGGAGCAAACAGG